GCUCAGAUUGAACGCUGGCGGCAUGCCUUACACAUGCAAGUCGAACGGUAACAGGUCUUCGGAUGCUGACGAGUGGCGAACGGGUGAGUAAUACAUCGGAACGUGCCCGAUCGUGGGGGAUAACGGAGCGAAAGCUUUGCUAAUACCGCAUACGAUCUACGGAUGAAAGCAGGGGACCGCAAGGCCUUGCGCGGACGGAGCGGCCGAUGGCAGAUUAGGUAGUUGGUGGGAUAAAAGCUUACCAAGCCGACGAUCUGUAGCUGGUCUGAGAGGACGACCAGCCACACUGGGACUGAGACACGGCCCAGACUCCUACGGGAGGCAGCAGUGGGGAAUUUUGGACAAUGGGCGAAAGCCUGAUCCAGCCAUGCCGCGUGCAGGAUGAAGGCCUUCGGGUUGUAAACUGCUUUUGUACGGAACGAAAAGACUCCUUCUAAUAAAGGGGGUCCAUGACGGUACC
rnacentral:rRNA from 1 species